GCCAGACUCCUACGGGAGGCAGCAGUGAGGAAUAUUGGUCAAUGGGCGCAAGCCUGAGCCAGCCAAGUCGCGUGAGGGAUGACGGUCCUAUGGAUUGUAAACCUCUUUUGUCGGGGAGCAAAAGACGCCACGCGUCCCGCCUCGAGAGUACCCGGAGAAAAAGCAUCGGCUAACUCCGUGCCAGCAGCCGCGGUAAUACGGAGGAUGCGAGCGUUAUCCGGAUUUAUUGGGUUUAAAGGGUGCGCAGGCGGAAGCGCAAGUCAGCGGUAAAAUUGCGGGGCUCAACCCCGUACUGCCGUUGAAACUGCAUCCCUUGAGUGCGCGAGAAGUAUGCGGAAUGCGUGGUGUAGCGGUGAAAUGCAUAGAUAUCACGCAGAACUCCGAUUGCGAAGGCAGCAUACCGGCGCGCAACUGACGCUCAUGCACGAAAGCGUGGGUAUCGAACAGGAUUAGAUACCCGCGUACG
rnacentral:rRNA from 1 species